GGUUAAGCGACUAAGCGUACACGGUGGAUGCCCUGGCAGUCAGAGGCGAUGAAGGACGUGCUAAUCUGCGAAAAGCGUCGGUAAGGUGAUAUGAACCGUUAUAACCGGCGAUGUCCGAAUGGGGAAACCCAGUGCAAUUCGUUGCACUAUCGUUAACUGAAUACAUAGGUUAACGAGGCGAACCGGGGGAACUGAAACAUCUAAGUACCCCGAGGAAAAGAAAUCAACCGAGAUUCCCCCAGUAGCGGCGAGCGAACGGGGAGCAGCCCAGAGUCUGAAUCAGCUUGUGUGUUAGUGGAACGGUCUGGAAAGUCCGACGGUACAGGGUGAUAGUCCCGUACACCAAAAUGCACAGGCUGUGAACUCGAAGAGUAGGGCGGGACACGUGGUAUCCUGUCUGAAUAUGGGGGGACCAUCCUCCAAGGCUAAAUACUCCUGACUGACCGAUAGUGAACCAGUACCGUGAGGGAAAGGCGAAAAGAACCCCGGCGAGGGGAGUGAAAAAGAACCUGAAACCGUGUACGUACAAGCAGUGGGAGCACCUUCGGGUGUGACUGCGUACCUUUUGUAUAAUGGGUCAGCGACUUAUAUUCUGUAGCAAGGUUAACCGUAUAGGGGAGCCGCAGGGAAACCGAGUCUUAACUGGGCGUUAAGUUGCAGGGUAUAGACCCGAAACCCGGUGAUCUAGCCAUGGGCAGGUUGAAGGUUGGGUAACACUAACUGGAGGACCGAACCGACUAAUGUUGAAAAAUUAGCGGAUGACUUGUGGCUGGGGGUGAAAGGCCAAUCAAACCGGGAGAUAGCUGGUUCUCCCCGAAAGCUAUUUAGGUAGCGCCUCGUGAACUCAUCUUCGGGGGUAGAGCACUGUUUCGGCUAGGGGGUCAUCCCGACUUACCAACCCGAUGCAAACUACGAAUACCGAAGAAUGUUAUCACGGGAGACACACGGCGGGUGCUAACGUCCGUCGUGAAGAGGGAAACAACCCAGACCGCCAGCUAAGGUCCCAAAGUCAUGGUUAAGUGGGAAACGAUGUGGGAAGGCACAGACAGCCAGGAUGUUGGCUUAGAAGCAGCCAUCAUUUAAAGAAAGCGUAAUAGCUCACUGGUCGAGUCGGCCUGCGCGGAAGAUGUAACGGGGCUAAACCAUGCACCGAAGCUGCGGCAGCGACACUAUGUGUUGUUGGGUAGGGGAGCGUUCUGUAAGCCUGCGAAGGUGACCUGUGAGGGUUGCUGGAGGUAUCAGAAGUGCGAAUGCUGACAUAAGUAACGAUAAAGCGGGUGAAAAGCCCGCUCGCCGGAAGACCAAGGGUUCCUGUCCAACGUUAAUCGGGGCAGGGUGAGUCGACCCCUAAGGCGAGGCCGAAAGGCGUAGUCGAUGGGAAACAGGUUAAUAUUCCUGUACUUGGUGUUACUGCGAAGGGGGGACGGAGAAGGCUAUGUUAGCCGGGCGACGGUUGUCCCGGUUUAAGCAUGUAGGCUGAUUGUCCAGGCAAAUCCGGAUAAUCAAGGCUGAGGUGUGAUGACGAGGCACUACGGUGCUGAAGUAACAAAUGCCCUGCUUCCAGGAAAAGCCUCUAAGCAUCAGGUAACAUUAAAUCGUACCCCAAACCGACACAGGUGGUCAGGUAGAGAAUACCAAGGCGCUUGAGAGAACUCGGGUGAAGGAACUAGGCAAAAUGGUGCCGUAACUUCGGGAGAAGGCACGCUGGUGUGUAGGUGAAG
rnacentral:rRNA from 1 species